GAGUUUGAUCCUGGCUCAGGAUAAACGCUGGCGGCGUGCAUGAGACAUGCAAGUCGAACGAACGAGCUUGCUCGUUAGUGGCGGACGGCUGAGUAACGCGUAGGUGACCUGCCCCGAAGUGGGGGAUAACUGCCCGAAAGGGUGGCUAAUACCGCAUGUGGCGACACUUUCAUUGGUGUCAUCAAAGCCGCGAGGCGCUUCGGGAGGGGCCUGCGUCCGAUUAGCUCGUUGGUGGGGUAAUGGCUCACCAAGGCGACGAUCGGUAGGUGGUCUGAGAGGACGAUCACCCAGACUGGGACUGAGACACGGCCCAGACUCCUACGGGAGGCAGCAGUCGGGAAUUUUGCUCAAUGGGCGCAAGCCUGAAGCAGCAACGCCGCGUGCGGGAUGAAGGCCUUCGGGUUGUAAACCGCUUUUACCAGGGACGAUAAUGACGGUACCUGAUGAAUAAGUCACGGCUAACUACGUGCCAGCAGCCGCGGUAAUACG
rnacentral:rRNA from 1 species